rnacentral:tRNA from 1 species
GGCCCAGUGGUCUAGUAGUAUGAUACGUGCUUCGGGCUUUCUUGCCAGCUCAUGGAAUGAGUCGUAUGCACGGGGUCCCGGGUUCAAUUCCCGGCUGGGCCC